CACAAGGAGACCUACAAUUUGGCUAGACUCCGAAGGGUGGCAGAAUAUGCCAUCCCAAGAUAUGCCACUUUGGCAUAAGGAUUAUUUUGAGCCAAAGGGACUUAAAAAA